rnacentral:rRNA from 1 species
UACGUAGGGUGCAAGCGUUAAUCGGAAUUACUGGGCGUAAAGCGUGCGCAGGCGGUUGUGCAAGACCGAUGUGAAAUCCCCGGGCUUAACCCUGGGAAUGGCAUUGGUGACUGCACGGCUAGAGUGUGUCAGAGGGGGGUAGAAUUCCACGUGUAGCAGUGAAAUGCGUAGAGAUGUGGAGGAAUACCGAUGGCGAAGGCAGCCCCCUGGGAUAACACUGACGCUCAUGCACGAAAGCGUGGGGAGCAAACAGG